rfam:Triticum urartu cultivar G1812 contig528430, whole genome shotgun sequence.
CAUAUACUCCCUCCGUUCUGAAUUACUUGUCUUAGAUUUGUCUAGAUACGGAGGUAUCUAGCACUAUUCCAAAUUAUUUGUCUUAGAUUUGUCUAGAUACGGAUGUAUCUAGACUCAUUUUAGUGCUAGAUACCUCCGUAUCUAGACAAAUCUAAGACAAAUAAUUCGAAACGGAGGGAGUAAUAA